rnacentral:RNase_P_RNA from 1 species
UCAGAAGGAAGCUCACCACUGAGGUCACUUGCUGAGUGCUGGUCACUCCCUUCUCUCUGCCUCUGGGAAGGUCUGAGACAAGAGCCAGUAGCUGCCCUUGCAAGGCACCCCCUGAUGCAGGGGGAUGAGGUACCAGGGAGGCUGGGCCCUAUCAAGGGAGAGGCACAAGAAGUCUGAGAGGAGGUUAUUCUCCCUUGACUGAUGCCCAUGCCCUGUGCAGGGUCUUGAGACAGGCUCAUGGCUGGCACCUUUGAGUCCAAUGGGAUGAGGUGAGGCUUGCUCCCCACAUGCAGGACUCACAACCCAAUUCAGACUACUCUCCCUCUGA